rnacentral:rRNA from 1 species
UACGUAGGGUGCGAGCGUUGUCCGGAAUUAUUGGGCGUAAAGAGCUUGUAGGCGGUUUGUCGCGUCUGCCGUGAAAAUCCGGGGCUCAACCCCGGACUUGCGGUGGGUACGGGCAGACUAGAGUGUGGUAGGGGAGACUGGAAUUCCUGGUGUAGCGGUGAAAUGCGCAGAUAUCAGGAGGAACACCGGUGGCGAAGGCGGGUCUCUGGGCCGUAACUGACGCUGAGGAGCGAAAGCGUGGGGAGCGAACAGG